CAAAAACUAGAUUUACCUACUAGAAUAACCACCAUGGCUGCACCCUGCACUGAAAACAAUCACAAACAUGGCACACUGGAAUUUGCUCUGGACGUCCCGUUCCCAUCAACUCGCGAAGCGUCCAUCGCGCUCCAGUCCCUCUCCCCAGACCGCGAGCCCCGGAAAGGAGGCAUCAGCAAGGACAUCACGGUUUCCGGUAGCACGCUGUCUGUGUGAGUAUAUGCUGUAUGUGUACUAUCACCUAGUGUAAUCAAUGGUGUACGAGUAUGGAGGUACUACUGUAGGUCAUGUGAAUCCCUCCCUCAUCUCUUCUUUCAUCAUCUCGUCUCUUCCAUACCCCAUAAUGAGGUGGAGGGCAGAUGAGGCCCGUGUCCUGCGUGUCACUGUAGGGUCGUUUAUGAACCACCUCUUCCUGGUGAUGGAAACCAUGGAGUUGUUCGGACCACCUCUCCCUGGUGAUGGAAACCAUGGAGUUGUUCGGACCACUUCUCCCUGGUGAUGGAAACCAUGGAGUUGUUCGGACCACUUCUCCCUGGUAAUGGAAACCAUGGAGUUGUUCGGACCACCUGUCCCUGGUGAUGGAAACCAUGGAGUUGUUCGGACCACUUCUCCCUGGUGAUGGAAACCAUGGAGUUGUUCGGACCACUUCUCCCUGGUGAUGGAAACCAUGGAGUUGUUCGGACCACUUCUCCCUGGUGAUGGAAACCAUAGAGUUGUUCGGACCACCUGUCCCUCAGUGACCACUUACACACUCAGCAAUCUCUGUUCUGCAAUGACCUGCAGAGAACCAAGAGGAGCAGUGUUAUGCUGAACAGAGGGGUCUCUCUGGCCGACAGACCCAGCAGAAGCAUGCUGUGCACCUCGGUACAGAGCGACAUGUCCCACUUUCAAUCCUCUGCUAUUCAAAUUGAAGGAACUGGAUUCUCUUACACCAAUGCAACAUUUCUGUAGUUGUUGAAUUAGAAUGUGAUUUAGAGCAGUGGGCCUGCAGGUCUAAGACUAAAAAAAAGAAAAGACAACUGACAUUUCCAUAAAGUAAACAUUUAUGUUUUACAGUGAAGAGAUUUGCAACAAAAGAUGACAGUUGAAGGAGUUGUGCAAAAAUGUUCACGUAGAUAGAUGACUAAGGAUUUUUGCUCAUUGGUUGUUGGCAUGAAUGAGUCAAUUCAUUUCUGUUACUAGAACACACAGCAACACUAGUGGAUGGUGUAGAAUAGGAAGGCAGAUUUAAGACAAUGGAAUAGAAAAAAAACUAGGAGAGAGGUGAUCAGUAGGACCAAAGAGGGGCACGGCACACUGUUAGGGCAGAGGACAUGGGGUCCAGUCCCAAACCCUCCCCUCUUUCCCUAGACACUUCUAGAUAGACCUGAGAAGUAGUGUAAGCAAUAUGACCAAUUACCAUUUCACUAGAACCACACUGCUUACACAAAUCAGAUCAUUUUUGAUCUAUUAGGGGCCUUGAGGGGGCUAGGGUUUAAACUUGAGACAGGCCCAUAGUGACUGCUCAUCUCAUGUCUUCAUUCCAUAAAAUGUAUGACCAGCCUCUACAGGGAUACAGUUGUGUAGUAUGGAUAACAAGAUAAGAAAUGUACUGAACUAACCAGUAUAAAAGAACAGAACCGAUGUUGCUGUUUGGUCGAGAGAAUGUUAGUGCACACCGUCGUAUUCUGACUGCACACAGUUACCUUCACUGCAUCUGGUUAGUUUAGCACCCUCUACACAACUGUUUAAAACAGAAACUUAUCAAAUACAACAGAUUCAAAUGGACAUUUUUCUAAGGGUCUAGGGGUUGACAGUUUGGCAACAUAAGGACUGCUGAAAGGCAGGAAAAACACCACAUAUACUGUAUAUAUAGAUUAAUAUGACAGAUCUGCUACAGUAAUACUUGUCAUGAGAUGAAAGGCACAGAGCGAGAAGAGUAAGUAAGAGUUGCUCCUCACCAAUCCCUCUAAUGGUUAAGGUUAGGUUUGGCCAAGAGUAAUCUGAUCCUAGAUCAGUAGUUAAUGACAACUUCUACUUUGACCACAAACAAACAGACAAAGUCUAUACCUCAGUAUAAAAGGAUGAAACAAUUAAAACGACAAGAACUAAAAGACAUGACAACAUUAUUAGAAAUUAUUAUAAUAGGAGCAUCAUGAUUGUAUUUUCCAUAGUAUCACCGGUUCUUCUAUCUUAUUAAAAAGUGAUGCUGUGCAAAUGGG